ensembl:lncRNA
UCUCUCACGUCCUAGGCUUGUAGUCUUUGAUAGUUUGACCAGGGGAAAAUUUCAGGCUUAAAAGGCAAUGCAAAAGCAUGGGUCAUGUAGCCUGGGCUUCCCUGGUGGCCCGGUGGGAAAGAAUUCACCUGCGAAGGUAGGAAACACAGGUUCAAUCCCCGGUCUGGGAAGAGCUAGUCUGUGAGCCACAACUACUCCAGGAGCCGCACCUGCUGAAGGCCACGUGCCUGGAGCCCACGCUCUGCGAGGAGAGAAACCAGCGAUGAGAAGCCCGCACGCGGCCGUUAGCCGGGAGCGCCUGCUCACUGCAGCCAGAGAAAGCUCCAGGCUGCCGCGGAGGCCCAGCGCAGCCGGGAAUAAAUACAAAUGCAUCUUCAGCAUAGCCCAGUGUGAGGUUCCAAACAUUCCCUCGAGGGGUGUUUGUCCGCUGGCCAGAGCAUCCGUGUGUCCCGUAGGAGCAAGGAGCUCCAUCCGGCAGGAUGCUUUGGCAUCCCCUCCGGCAGGGUGGUGGGCGAAGGGUCCAGAUGGAGAAGGCCUGAGGGAAGUGGCCGGGCCCUGUGUGCUUCGGGUGUACGUGGUGAUUCAAAACCUGAGAGUGGUAUUCGUUCAGCCUACAUUUGACCAGUUCAUUCAGAAGGAUAUUCAAACAUUUUGCUAACAUCAAGGUCUAUUUGAGAAAAUCAGGAUGUGCACGAAGUAAGAUCAAGGUCUGCAGAGUGGGAGGUGUUUCCUGACGCGCCGGCACAGGAGCGGGUAGAGAAGGACAACAGGGCAGGAGCCAGUGCAGGCGGAAACGUUGGAGACUCCCGACUCCUGUCCUUUCUCAGGCUCAGCAGACACACAGCUACUCUAGGGUCAGUUCCCUUGGAAACAGGUACAGAGACUGGCUGAGGGACGCCUAUUCUUUAGGUAAAUGAGAACAUGCCCACUUCUAAUUUGGGAGGAAAGGCAAGAGCCUCUGGCCUUUGGUCCUGGGCCAUAUGCUCUGGAGGGAGCUCCCACCUCCCACCUUCCCCACGAGGAGCAAAAGGUUUAGAUUCCACAUCUAGUGCCCCAGUUUCAACACUCCCACUGGAGGGCCAGGCCCCCAAAUCAGCUAGCUCUGAAAGUCAACAGGACCUGUGCCCUUGAGACCCACAGAACUAUAGUGAACAGAGAAGCAAUUCUUAACGGGUGAGCAAGGACUCACCUGGCUGUUCACCUGGGCUGAGCACAGAGAUCAAGAGAGGAGUAAAGACACAAGGGAAUAAAAAACAACCAGGAAAUAAUUAACGAAUGACAGCAGUAAGUCCAUAUUCAUUAAUGAUUACUUUAAAUGUAAAUGGAUUAAAUUCUUCAAUCAAAAGACAGAGUGACUGAAUGGAUUAAAAAAAAAUAAGGUCCAACUGUAUGUUGCUUCCAAGAGACUCAUCUCGGCUUUAAGGACAGAAGUAGGGUGAAAGUGAAGGGACAGAAAAAGAUAUUACAAGCGAAUGAAACCUUAGAGGGUUUUAUGUAUACAUAUGUCAGAAAAAAUAGACACCAAGCCAAAGACUUCAGUGAGAUAAAACAGUCGUUAUAUAAUGAUAAAGGAGUCAGUUUAUCAAGAAGAUAUAACAGUUAUAAAUGUUUAUGCAUCUGACAUUGGAACAACUAAAUAUAUAAAGCAGAUAUUAACCGAUCUGAAAGGAGAAAUGGAGAACAAUACAAUAAUAGCAUGCAAUACUAAUAAUAUUAGCAAUGCCUCACUUUUAACAACAAAUAGAUCACCCAGACAGAAAAUCAAUCAAUAAGUAUUGUACUUAAACUACACAUUAGACCUAGUGGACCCAAAGGACAUAUAUAUCAUUAGAACACCUCAUCCAAUGGCAACAGAAUGCACGUUCUUCUCAAGUAUGCACGGAGCGCGCUUCAGGACAGAUAAAUCAACAAGAAAAGCCAGCAAGAUAAGAGACUGAAGUUGCAUCAAGUAUCCUCUCCAACCACAGUGAAAUGAGACCGUAAAUCAAUUACAAGAAGAAAAUGGAGGAUUCACAAAUAUAUGGAGAUUAAAUAGCAGGCUACUGAGCAAGAAAUGGGUCAAAGGAGAAUUAAAAAAAGACAUUUUAAAGUGUUUAGAGAAAAAUGAAAAUGGAAGCACAGCAUUCUAAAAUGCCUGUGAUUUGCAAGCAUAGUUCUAAGAGGGAAGUUUAUAGCAAUAAGAAUGUGCAUUAAGAAAAAAGACAUAAUUUCGCAGCAAUAAGAGAACAGACUCUGUAUGAUUUCAGUCUUUAGACCAUGAGCUUUUUGCACCUAGCUUUAUGUCCCUGGAUAUGUUUCAGUGUCUCCUAGUUUAUAGUCUAUGGGAACUCAAAUAGAUUUUGUAUCCUACUGCUGCAUGAAAAUUGUAUAAAUCUUAAUUAUGUUGAAUUGGUUCAUAGUGCGUCUCAGGUUUGCUAUAUCCUUCUAC